GAUGAACGCUGGCGGCGUGCCUAAUACAUGCAAGUCGAGCGAACAGAUGCGGAGCUUGCUCCUCUGACGUUAGCGGCGGACGGGUGAGUAACACGUGGAUAACCUACCUAUAAGACUGGGAUAACUUCGGGAAACCGGAGCUAAUACCGGAUAAUAUAUUGAACCGCAUGGUUCAAUAGUGAAAGACGGUUUUGCUGUCACUUAUAGAUGGAUCCGCGCCGCAUUAGCUAGUUGGUAAGGUAACGGCUUACCAAGGCAACGAUGCGUAGCUGACCUGAGAGGGUGAUCGGCCACACUGGAACUGAGACACGGUCCAGACUCCUACGGGAGGCAGCAGUAGGGAAUCUUCCGCAAUGGGCGAAAGCCUGACGGAGCAACGCCGCGUGAGUGAUGAAGGUCUUCGGAUCGUAAAACUCUGUUAUUAGGGAAGAACAAAUGUGUAAGUAACUAUGCACGUCUUGACGGUACCUAAUGAGAAAGCCACGGCUAACUACGUG
rnacentral:rRNA from 1 species